UACGGAGGGUGCGAGCGUUGUCCGGAAUCAUUGGGCGUAAAGGGCGCGUAGGUGGCCCGGUCAGUCUUUGGUGAAAGCGCGGGGCUCAACCCUGCGUCGGCCAGGGAUACUGCCGCGGCUCGAGCACUGUAGAGGCAGGCGGAAUUCCGGGUGUAGCGGUGGAAUGCGUAGAGAUCCGGAAGAACACCCGUGGCGAAGGCGGCUCUCUGGGACGGUACUGACGCUGAGACGCGAAAGCGUGGGGAGCGAACAGG
rnacentral:rRNA from 1 species